GAUGAAGAACGCAGCGAAAUGCGAUAAGUAAUGUGAAUUGCAGAAUUCAGUGAAUCAUCGAAUCUUUGAACGCACAUUGCGCCCCUUGGUAUUCCGAGGGGUAUGCCUGUUCGAGCGUCAUUAUAACCCCUCAAGCUCAGCUUGGUGUUGGGGCCUGCUGCACUGGCAGCCCUUAAAAUCAGUGGCGGCGCCAUCUGGCUCUAAGCGUAGUAAUUCUUCUCGCUAUGGAGUCCUGGUGGAUGCUUGCCAUCAACCCCCAAUUUUUCUAUGGUUGACCUCGGAUCAGGUAGGGAUACCCGCUGAACUUAAGCAUAUCAAUAAGCGGAGGA
rnacentral:misc_RNA from 1 species